UACAGAGGUCUCAAGCGUUGUUCGGAUUCAUUGGGCGUAAAGGGUGCGUAGGCGGCGCGGUAAGUCGGGUGUGAAAGCCCCGGGCUCAACCUGGGAAUUGCAUUCGAGAUUGCAUGGCUAGGGUGCGGAAGAGGGAAGCGGAAUUUCCGGUGUAGCGGUGAAAUGCGUAGAUAUCGGAAGGAACACCAGUGGCGAAAGCGGCUUCCUGGUCCAGCACCGACGUUCAGGCACGAAAGCGUGGGGAGCAAACAGG
rnacentral:rRNA from 1 species